UACGUAGGGUGCGAGCGUUAAUCGGAAUUACUGGGCGUAAAGCGUGCGCAGGCGGUUCGUUAAGUCAGAUGUGAAAGCCCCGGGCUCAACCUGGGAACUGCAUUUGAAACUGGCGAACUAGAAUCUGGCAGAGGGGGGUGGAAUUCCACGUGUAGCAGUGAAAUGCGUAGAGAUGUGGAGGAACACCGAUGGCGAAGGCAGCCCCCUGGGCUGAGAUUGACGCUCAGGCACGAAAGCGUGGGGAGCAAACAGG
rnacentral:rRNA from 1 species